UUCCAUUCAAAAUCUCUUCCGUCGCCACAUCUCCCUCUAUCUCUCCUUCAUGCCAACGCCAUCUCCAAGCUCGAAUCGUCGAACGACGUCUGCACGUCGACGGAACCCAGCGACGCCUUGCUCCUUUCUUUCGUGCGUCAGCCACGACGCCCUCCAGUCGCGACGUGACUCGCCGACGCCAUUCAGCCGCUGUCGCGUAGCCCAACUCACCGAACGAUAAUUACCCCACGUCGAACCUUUCACGAAUCACGCAAAAUUGAAGUUCUUGGGUCAAUCUAAGUUUAUGGAUUCAAGUUUUAGAAGAGUUUGAGCCGCUAUCCAGCCAUUCAAAAGGUCGAAAUUAGACGUUUGGCACAAAUUUGGGCCAAAUUGAAGUAGGGAAAGCAUAUAAUCUCGAGGGAUCGAAUCAUUGAUUCGCCACCUACGGUUGUCAGGGGAUUCCGGGGCUAAAAGAGGUCGUGAUCGGAGAUCCGAGAACCUGAGCCUAGGUGAGGACAUGGAUGGAGGAUUGUGAUAUGGCUUCGGGCCCAGCUUAACCCAUGGUGGGUGGCUCUAUGUGUACGUAGGAGCGGUAUGUUGUUACUGUAGUAGGUGCUAAAUGUACGUGAGCUCCGUUUGGCCGCGUGUUUCCUUGUGGAUAUGGAACACGUAUGAGCUAAUCCCGGGCCGUAUACUUAGUAUUCUAUCAUGGUUGGUUGGAUUGGUUGACGAUUGAUAUCAUGGUGGGUACUAAGGAUGUGUGAGCUAGUUUUGGCCACAUGAUGCUUUAUCAUGUACGAGCUAUCUUUGGUUGUAUCUUUAGAUGCCUGGCCAUGGUUGUACGGAUUACAGGGUUGUUGAUGGACUAAUGGGUCUGAGUUAAUGAUAUUUUUUUUCACUAUUAUUAUAUUCCUAAUGCACAUUUAUAAUUUUUCUCUUUAAGUAUAUUUUAUGAUCUUUACAUUUAAGAAACUUGCCACUCACUGAGUAUUCGACUUACAUUUUAAUGUUUUCUCCCCCC